UCCCUUUACUCAUCCCAAUACACUUUAAUCGCCAGAUCUGUUCCUAUUCUUUCUUAGAGAAAUCCUAAAACACAAACCCUCCAUUUGCUCUCUCUCUCUUGCGAUUCUAUACCUAGAAUAAUCUCAUCUCUGGAUCCACUUUCAAGUCGACCCCAAUCACCGAUUUCCUCUGGUUAUGCUAACAACGUUUAGGGAUUUGCAGAUCUUGAAAAGAGAAGAGAAAUAUAAAGAGAACGUUCCGGGCUAUGACUUCUGACGAGAUAAAGCAGGUCAUCACCUAAGUUCAGCACAUAAGCAGUUAUUUUUGCCCAUUUAGGGUUUGCUGUGUUAAGGGAUGGCCAAAGAUGGGAUUACAUCAUCAUCCCAGCAUCAGCAACUUUCUUUCUUUUCAAAACUGCAACAUACCAGGAGUAUAAUAAGACUAAACAUCCACAACUUUUGUAUGAAGCUAAGUUGUACAAUCUUCUUCAGGGAGGAAGUGGUAUACCUUCCAUAAAAUGGUCCGGUGUAGAUGGAGAGGAUAAUGUUUUAAUUAUUGAUUUUCUAGGACCGAGUCUUGAGGACCUGUUUGUGUAUUGUGGGAGGAACUUUCAAUUGAAAACAGUCUUGAUGUUGGCUGAUUAAAUGAUAACAAGAAUCGAGUAUGUUCAUUCUAAAGGGAUAUGAAGAAGAUCAGGAGGAUAAUGAAGAAGAGGAAGGAGGACUGAGCCAAUCUGGAAAAGAGUUGAGGAAGUUGCUCGGGAAAAAUAGUGGGGUCAAUGAAUCCGAGCCAGAGCAAGAGGAUGAUGACGAUGACGACGAUGAUAUUGAAGACGAAAGUUCCCCUGUUCUUGCACCAAAGGCUAAUAAUAACGGGGUCCAUCAAAGCGUAAUAACAACCCUCUUAAAGAGGAACCCGUCGACAAUAGCCCCUCAAAGCCAGCAGCUGCUACAACAUCAGCUCGGGGAACCCCAUCUUCAAAUAAGUCAGCUAAGGGAAAGCAAAAAAGCACCGAGAAAACAAACCGUCAAAUGGUGCCGCCACAGCUUCAAAGAAAGUCAAAACUGAAAAUUUUCGGGACGUGAAACAUGUAAAAGAGGAGCCUGCAAAGGCCGGUAAAGGUUCUUCUUCUAAACCAGCAGGUGCAUGUGCGUCAUAUGCUACCGGACCUGUCAAGGAAGCAGAAAUUACGGCGGUUCUGCUGCACAACGUACCUGUCAAGGAAGCAGAGACGGGUUAUUACCUGCAGUAUUCGCUAAAGUUCAUCCAAUGCAUCACACUCCAGUUUACUCUCAAAUCUGGGUUGGAAUUGUUGCAUUUAUUUUGGCUGGACUGUUAUUUUGUUGUAGAUGAAGAUGGAGUGGUGGUGAUACACGAACCAGGGAGACAAACAAAACUUUGUAGAUCUGAGUUUUUAGCUACAUUCAGAUCUGAGUUUUUUUCUUUUUCUUUUUUUUUUAAGAAUUUGAAGGAAACAAGCAAAACUAGAGAAGAUGACAAGCUAAGAUCUGAUAGAUGUGACACAUGUUUUUUGUGAGCUCGAAUUGAUUAUUCAUCGAUUGAAAGUAUUGACUACCACAUAUGGUAUGGUAAUAGACCUGUUUUUCAUCACUGAUGCCAGGUAGCCUGCAUUGUCAUCAUAUACUUGUAAUUACAAACAUGCAGCGGGAGUGGGUCAAAAGUUACAGGAUAUUUAUGGAAAUGAGGUGCCUUUGAGCUCUUACAUGGGGAAGGCUCUGUUGCCUUUGACCUUGUCCCUUGGACUCAAGACAUGAAUACGUUCAUCUACAGUUCAGAAUGACUCAUCCGGAUACAGGAUUACCUGCAGAUAUUAUCAAAGAAAUGGUCAAGGGUGCUACAAGCCAUUUACCAGAUAUCACACUUUGUCAUGGGUGCUACAAGCUGCCUUCAGUUAUUCAUUUAUUUUUAUUUCAUGUUUAUUCUGGCAUAUUUAUAAUACAUAUAUGAAGGCUAGAAAGGUAAUUUGAAACAGAAAGGAACUCAGAUUGAGUCAAUCGGAACUAGCCUUAUUUGAGUUUAAUUUUUUUAAAAAUAGGUUUUUAAUUACAACAAAUAUAAACUUUGAAAGUAGUUUUGGGAU